rnacentral:rRNA from 1 species
CUACGUAGGGUGCAAGCGUUAAUCGGAAUUACUGGGCGUAAAGCGUGCGCAGGCGGUCGUGCAAUACAGAUGUGAAAUCCCCGGGCUCAACCUGGGAACUGCAUUUGUGACUACACGGCUAGAGUACGGUAGAGGGGGAUGGAAUUCCGCGUGUAGCAGUGAAAUGCGUAGAUAUGCGGAGGAACACCGAUGGCGAAGGCAAUCCCCUGGACCUGCACUGACGCUCAUGCACGAAAGCGUGGGGAGCAAACAGGAUUAGAUACCCUGGUAGUCCACGCCCUAAACGAUGUCAACUGGUUGUUGGGAGGGUUCCUUCUCAGUAACGAAGCUAACGCGUGAAGUUGACCGCCUGGGGAGUACGGCCGCAAGGUUGGAACUCAAAUGAAUUGACGGG